rnacentral:lncRNA from 1 species
UUCUUAUUAUUUGCCAUCUUGUCCGUGGGGCUUGAAUAAGAAAGAAGACAACAUUUCUUACAGAAAUUACAUUUAAAAGUUACAUUACAGUAAAGCAAGUAACAGCUUUUUCAGAGAAAACAACUCAUCUGGAAUUUUCAAUAUAAAGAUAAAAUCUUCUUGGAUAGUAUAAAUGGCUCUAUGGACUCACAGCAGAUUGGUACCAAAGACUAUUUUAUUCAUUUUUUCUCAUCUGUCAAGGGUGGUACUUUAACAUGGUCUUAAAAUUUACUCAUCCGGCAUUUUUUGUAUACCUUAAUAAAAAUUAUAUCUUCUAUUUCUAUAUCUUUUGCAAUAGGGAUAAUAUUCAAAUUUAUGAAACUUCUAUAAAUUUGCUUCUUGGUAUUGAUUUCUCAGUGCCUCAAUAUCAUCAGAUAUUUACUUCUAUUUUAUAAUAGUUAUCAUGUUUUAUCUUACUUGUGUGUUUAUAAAUUUCUCUUUCAAUCUUGGCUACAAAUUAAAACCACCUGAGAAGCUUUUAAACUACUGAUGCCUACACUCUGGUUUAAGCUGAGAUUAUUAUUUAAUUAGUCUGAGGUACCAUCUGAGCAACAGUACUUUGGGAAACUUUCCACUUUAUUCUAAUGGAUGGCCAAGUUGAGAAUCACUGCUGUGGACUGUACUAUUAUUGAGGGUAGGGGGCAUGGCUUAUUUACCCUUAUGUUUGCUCAACACUGUGCCUGCCUGUA